AUGAUUCGCCUGAUUGUGUUGGCGUUGACCCUUAAUAUAGUUGUUGGCAGCGAUGAACUCACCUUCGUCACCGCAAGUUGCAGAGAUGACAUAACGUUACACUGUACUUUCCAUAAAACCUGUCAGAACUACACCUCUGUUACGUGGUACAAGUUCCACAAUAACAGCAGUGACAGAGCUACAAAAAUGACAAUCGUCAUAAAAUCAGAAAAUGUCAUCCAGACUGAUAAGCAUAACAAUUCUGUGUCACUGGAUAAAAAUGCAUCUUUGGUCUUAAGGAAAGUUGCUCCUGCCAAUUCUGGGAUCUACAUGUGUUUAAUAAGAGCCAAAGCUGGAGGAACGAACUGUCAAAAACGGGUUAGACUUAAUAUCUCAGAUUGUGUGUCAACAGCUUCACCCAUCAUCUUUGAUUUCUCCACCGCGUUUAUUAAUGAAUCAUGGGCAAACAUUGGCAUCCCAUUGCCUCAUGUAAAUGAUGAUUCAGUGCUCUUUGUCCUUUGGGGUUGUGUAGGAUUAGCUCUGAGUAAACUUGUCCUCAGUGCCAUUUGCAUAUGGGUUUUCAAGGAACUCAGUAAACUUAAAAGAAGACAGACUUAA
rnacentral:lncRNA from 12 species